rnacentral:tRNA from 1 species
AGGAUUUUAAGUUAAAUAAACUAUUAACCUUCAAAGUUAAAAUUACCUAAACACGUAAAUUCUA